rnacentral:rRNA from 1 species
AGUGAACGCUGGCGGUAGGCCUAACACAUGCAAGUCGAACGGCAGCACAGUAAGAGCUUGCUCUUACGGGUGGCGAGUGGCGGACGGGUGAGGAAUACAUCGGAAUCUACUUUUUCGUGGGGGAUAACGUAGGGAAACUUACGCUAAUGCCGCAUACGACCUACGGGUGAAAGCAGGGGAUCUUCGGACCUUGCGCGAUUGAAUGAGCCGAUGUCGGAUUAGCUAGUUGGCGGGGUAAAGGCCCACCAAGGCGACGAUCCGUAGCUGGUCUGAGAGGAUGAUCAGCCACACUGGAACUGGGACACGGUCCAGACUCCUACGGGAGGCAGCAGUGGGGAAUAUUGGACAAUGGGCGCAAGCCUGAUCCAGCCAUACCGCGUGGGUGAAGAAGGCCUUCGGGUUGUAAAGCCCUUUUGUUGGGAAAGAAAAGCAGCAGGUUAAUACCCCGCUGUUCUGACGGUACCCAAAGAAUAAGCACCGGCUAACUUCGUG